UACCCGCAGCACAAGUGGUGGUCAUUAUUAUUGGGCCUAAAGCGUCCGUAGCUGGCUUGUUAGAUGCCUGGGUAAAUCGAUGCGCUCAACGUAUCGACUUCCGGGUAGACCGGCAAGCUCGAGACCGGGAGAGGUGUAGGCUACUCGAGGGUAGGGUAAAAUCCUGUAAUCCUUCGGGGAGGACCAGUGGCGAAGGCGCUACACUAGAACGGCUCUGACAGUGAGGGACGAAGCCCUGGGGCGGCAAACCGGG
rnacentral:rRNA from 1 species